rnacentral:rRNA from 1 species
AGAGCGAACGCUGGCGGCGUGCUUAACACAUGCAAGUCGAGUGCGCGCCUGUAGCAAUACAGGUGGCGCACGGCGCACGGGUGCGUAACACGUGGGUAAUCUGCCCUUCGAUGGGGAAUAACUUCGGGAAACCGAAGCUAAUUCCGCAUAAUAUUCCGAGAACCUUGGUUUUUGGAUUCAAAGGCGUAAGUCGUCGGAGGAGGAGCCCGCGCACGAUUAGCUAGUUGGUGAGGUAAUGGCUCACCAAGGCUAUGAUCGUU